rnacentral:tRNA from 1 species
CCUGAUGGCUCAGAUGGUAAAGCGUCUGUCUGCAACACAGGACACCUAAGUUCGAUCCCUGGGUCAGGA